AGCGAACGCUGGCGGCAGGCCUAACACAUGCAAGUCGAACGAACCUUUCGGGGUUAGUGGCGGACGGGUGAGUAACACGUGGGAACGUGCCUUUAGGUUCGGAAUAUCUCAGGGAAACUUGUGCUAAUACCGAAUGUGCCCUUCGGGGGAAAGAUUAAUCGCCUUUAGAGCGGCCCGCGUCUGAUUAGCUAGUUGGUUGAGGUAAUGGCUCACCAAGGCGACGAUCAGUAGCUGGUCUGAGAGGAUGAUCAGCCACAUUGGGACUGAGACACGGCCCAAACUCCUACGGGAGGCAGCAGUGGGGAAUCUUGCGCAAUGGGCGAAAGCCUGACGCAGCCAUGCCGCGUGAAUGAUGAAGGUCUUAGGAUUGUAAAAUUCUUUCACCGGGGACGAUAAUGACGGUACCCGGAGAAGAAGCCCCGGCUAACUUCGUG
rnacentral:rRNA from 1 species